rnacentral:tRNA from 1 species
GGCGCCGUGGCAGAGUGGUCUAAUGCGAAUGACUAGAAAUCAUUUCUCUUCGGAGGCGCAUGUUCGAAUCAUGCCGGCGUCG